GUGGCGGUUCACGUGGCACGAACCCAGGGUGAAAAAUCGAGAAUUAUUGGUAUCAUCCAUUCGCUGGCGACUGCUAGAGGGAGCGCGGAUGUUUCCCUGUGCCUUAUCCAUCCCUCAGAGGGAUCCACUUGUGUGUUUGCCAGGGCUGCAGCAAGCCUGCAGAGCUGCCACCCUGCCCGUGGCAGCCGUGCAGAUGGCUUCAUCCUCACUGAAGUGAAAUGAUAGAAUCACAGGGUGAUUUGUGUUGGAAAGGACCUUAAAGAUCAUCUCAUUCCAGCACCCUGCCGUGGGCAGGGACACCUUCCACCACAUCAGGUUGCUCCAAGCCCCAUAGACAGGGAUGCUUUGGCUCACAUGGCUACAUACACAUACCAACCCACUCCAUCCCUGCAUCCCAAAUCUGCAGGCUGUGAGUUGUCACCUGAGCCACCUGUACCUGGAAAAGUUCACAAAUGGGUUUAGGAACUGGGCAGAAGCCCCCAUGGCAGUGGGGUGGGAGCCUCACAGAAACGGGAGUGAUGUGGGAAGCACAGCAAGGAGCCAGGAUGGUGAGCAAGGACCCUUGUUAAGGGGAAAGUCAGGGUAAAGGGGGAGAAACAUCCCAGCACAAUUUGCUAAACCCUCUGAUAUUUGCCUAAAUUCAGGCUUUUGGCUGAACAAGCUGAGAAUUUGGGGCAGUUCUUUGAACUUCAGGGUGUCCUUGUGCAGCACUGGCACUGCAGAGCCCUGAUUCAAAAUGCAGUAAAAAGGAUAGAAAAGGGCUGCUGGUAUGAGAGCUGCAGGGAUGGCUCCAGGAGAGGCUGGACCUGAGGCAGAGCAGGAGCACAUCACCAUCCCACACACCCAGGGUUUGGUGUGCAGAGUCCCCAGGCAGCUUUUGGGGACAGAAAUGGGGUAAAUCUGCUGUGUCAGUCUGCUGAAAAACAUCAACAAGAGCAGCCUGGAUCCCCCAAAACCUCAGGUCUGAUCUGGAUGCUGGGUACAACCAGCUCUCCAAGAGUCAAAGGGACUGAGUCCUUGCCAAGUAGCAUCUAGUCCUUACAUCCAUCUGGAUCAAUCCAUCUGGAUAUUGUAAAACAGAGAAAAUCUAGCAUUUAUUCCAUUUAUGUUCCAUAUAUAUUCCAUUCCAUUUAUUCCAUGAAAUGGUACAGUGGCUUUGCAAGGGACACUUAUUUCUGGCAGAGUUUCCAGCAGUGUCUGCAACCCAAGCUGGGUGCUGGACCAGGGCACUCAGAAUAUCAGUGGAAAGGUCUGUCUUCCUUAAUGAAUUCCCAGAGGGCCAACAAACAGCCCACAAGGAGAAUAAGUGCAAUUUUUGAAAUUCUUUCUCCAUCAUCUCUACAGCCAUCCCUGAAUGAGAUAAAGUUCUCUUUUAUCAAGAAGUUGACAGGUCUGCAAGGAGUCUGUCCCAAAGGGAUGGGAGUUCCUGGCCACGUAGAUGAGGCACAAGGAGAUUGGGAAUAUUUCCUAAGGACACGAGGGAAACCUGAGUCAAUGCCAGAACAAUUCCCAGCUGAAAGAGCUGUGAGUAUCACCAGUACAUCCUCAGAAAUGGACCCUCUGUGAUGGGAAAAAGAUCUCCAAAGUGGGAUUUUUGAUCUGUGCCUCAGGUUUGUUGUGCCCUGGCAUGCUCUAGGGCCAGCUUCCAAUUGGCCCCUUCCAAAUAUCACCAGGGGCACCUGUAUGGCUGUUUAUCACCAAGAAAAUCCAGUCUAAGAGGCCAGCAACUUCAGCAGCAAUCCCCAGGAAAAGCACAGCGUGGCCCACAUUCCACAGUCUCUUCCAGCACAUCUCCACUAAAUAAUUCCCAUCAGAGCUACAACAGUUGUUAUUAUCUAUUCUUUUUUUCCCCUCUGCAAAGGUGUAUUUGUAUUUGCAUUUUACCCCCCCUCUCACUCAUAAAAUAUGGAGCACCAACUCUUUCCUUCCUCAGCUUCCUCAGCAGCAUCUUUAUGCAAACCUUGCUGAUGUGGUACUGCUGUAACAACUUAUUAGUUAUUAAAACUAAUAGCUUUAAGUUAUUAAAAUGCAUAACUAAGUUAUAGUUACUAACUAAGUUGUUAAAACUGAAUUAAACAGAGCUAAGGAUGGACAGGUUAAAAAUUUGAGUGAAUAUUCUGUUUCUCCCCUUGCCACAUUUCCCCAUCUCUCUUUCUGUGCGGGUAAAAUGGUCUUGGCGACCUUCCUGUGCUGCACAUCCCUGGGGACCAUGAAAACAAACCCAUUAAUGUUUAUAAAGUGUCUCAGACUGGGGGAAUUACAUCACUGUGGCGAGAUACAAGCUUAAUGGAUCAAAACAAACCUCAGCUCCAAACCCCCCAGCUUAGACACAUCUCAGUUACCCGGCACAAACCUCAAGGAAUCCCACUGAGAAGGGAUAAUUGAGAGAAAAAUGUGAUCCCAGAGAUUUUUCUGCAGUAAACCCAUUUUAUGUUAAUAGAAAGCAGAUUUCUAGACCCCUUUGCAAACGAAUGACUUCCACAGCAUAUUUCACAGCUGAGCGCAUCCAUGGCACCAGCUUUGGACACGGGGCUAUUAAACCCAACAUUUGUUUAAUGAAUUACAGCAGUCCAUGGAUCUGUGUGUGCUCAGCCCGUGUUUAAAUGUUUAUUGGGAAGACGUCAGCAGCCAGCUCUGCAUGAGCAGGUAUCAGCCUCAACGAUGAGCACUCGCUGCAAUGGAUCCAAAUCUUUGAACAUAUUUGAGUUUUGCUUUCUUAUCCAAGACAGAUUACCCAGGAGGUUCAGGGUCUCUGCUAAACAUAAAAUCUUUUGGGUUCAGUGGAAGUUUGGGGUGUUUUCUCCUUGAUGAUGAACUGUGUGUGUGAGAGAGACAAGCUGUUGUGCAUCUCCCACCUGCCUGGGGUUGGUGCAUGUGACUGAACAGUGGAUUAAACCAUUAAAACUCACACACUCAAGCAGGGUUGAUGUGCUGCAGCCGUUUCCAAGCUGACCCCACUCUCACUUCACCAGUCAAUCUAUAAACCUUGACAAAAAAUUAACUCUGGUUCACCCUCCAAUUUUAACACAUUCUCCACUGCAAACUAUGUGUGAAGUGCUACCUUUCGUGGUAGAUAGAGACAGUAGUGAUGAUGUGCUGUGAUCGCUUUGCUUUCCUGCAAAAUGCCUCUGAUUUAUGGUGGUCUCCACUCCAGAGAUCCCCACUCAGGAGCACUUUCAGAGUCACUGACUGCUUUGGGCUGGAAGAGACCCUAAGGACCAUCUCAUUCCCCCCUCUGCCAUGGCAGGGACACCUUCCACUGUCCCAGACUGAUCCAAGCCCUGUCCAGCCUGGCCUUGGACACUGACAGGGAUCCAGGGGCAGCCACCCUCACAGUUAAGAAUUUCUUCCUCGUAUCCACUCUAUCCCUGCCCUCUGCCAGUGGGAAGCCGGUCCCCCUUGUUCUGUCAUUUCAGGUGAAGUCUGACUGAAAUGCCAUUUCCCCUCCUUUCCCCAUCACAGAUUAGGGAGCAAAGAUGUUGGGCUUUUUCAGAGCUGCCAGGGUGAUUUGAGAGAUCAGGUCCUGCUGAUCCCCCAAGACUUCCCUGUCCCUUGGGAAGGUGAGAACGGGGACUGUGGAGACAUUAUCUUUGCAUCCUGAAUUUACCUCCUGUUCUGUUGAGACCAGGAUCAUGUGGAAACUUCAAUGAACAGUGAGAAUGUGAAACGCUCAGCUAGCAGGAUAAUGUGUGCAGUGAAAAAAAUCCUGUGAUCAAUCAGCAGACAAAGAUCUACUUAAAUUAGGUGUUAGUGGGAGAGAUGCAGGAAAGGUGAUUAUGGGUUUGUCUCCCUGUUUCCCUCAGCAACAAUGCUGACACAACGGGGUGGGUCACCCUACCCUGUCAUUAAUGGAGCAUCAGCAUUCAUCUGACAGCUCCUUUGUCCUGGGAAGUCAAUUCCGAUGAAGAUUUGACAUUAGCAGAAGCACGGUGAAACUCAGAACCUUUGUAUUUUCAUGACCCUCCAAAUGCUUUAACCUGAUGGAUUACAGGUAAAAUCACUGUCCUAAUUUGGGCAGGAGGCAGAAAUAAAUAUUUGUACUCAUCUGUUUCAACUGUGGCAAUAAACAUCACGGGCAGAGCCAGUGGAAGAGCAGCCCUUUGCUCCCUUCCCAGAAAACAAAACUGGGAACAGGGGCCACAGGGCAGAGCACAUGGGAAAGGUCAGCUGGAACAUCAGAGAAAUGUGAUUUUUUUUUUAAUUGCAAUAUUUGUCAAGUAACUGAAAGACAAGAUCUCUUCAGCCCUCUAAAAUAAUUCUAAACUAAAUUCAGAAAUGGAGAACUCCAGAUUGUAACAGAGAGGGGUUUUGACAUGCACAGCACUGUCCCCCACUGGCACCCAGCAGGCAGGGAGCACAUCCACAAAAUUCCCACGGGUGUUUCAGGGACAAAACAGCUCAAUCCAGACAAGAGUGAAACUUAAUUUAGUCCUUCC